rnacentral:rRNA from 1 species
GACGAACGCUGGCGGCGUGCUUAACACAUGCAAGUCGAACGAUGAAAGCUGGAGCUUGCUCCGGCUGGAUUAGUGGCGAACGGGUGAGUAACAAGUGAGCAAUCUGCCCUUCACUCUGGGAUAACCUCGAGAAAUCGAUGCUAAUACCGGAUACGACGCGCUGGGGCAUCCCAUGCGCGUGGAAAGAAUUUUGGUGAAGGAUGAGCUGGCGGCCUAUCAGCUAGUUGGUGAGGUAAUGGCUCACCAAGGCGACGACGGGUAGCCGGCCUGAGAGGGUGACCGGCCACACUGGGACUGAGACACGGCCCAGACUCCUACGGGAGGCAGCAGUGGGGAAUAUUGCACAAUGGGCGAAAGCCUGAUGCAGCAACGCCGCGUGGGGGAUGAAGGCCUUCGGGUUGUAAACCUCUUUUAGCAGGGAAGAAGCGAAAGUGACGGUACCUGCAGAAAAAGCACCGGCUAACUACGUGCCAGCCGCCGCCGUAA